GAUGAACGCUGGCGGCGUGCCUAACACAUGCAAGUCGAACGAAGCACUUUGAURGAUCCCCUUCGGGGGUGAAGUCAAAGUGACUUAGUGGCGGACGGGUGAGUAACGCGUGGGCAACCUGCCUCAUACAGGGGGAUAACAGCUGGAAACGGCUGCUAACACCGCAUAAGCAUACAGCAYCGCAUGGUGCAGUGUGAAAAUAUUUAUAGGUAUGAGAUGGGCCCGCGUCUGAUUAGCUAGUUGGUAAGGUAACGGCUUACCAAGGCGACGAUCAGUAGCCGGCUUGAGAGAGUGAUCGGCCACAUUGGGACUGAGACACGGCCCAAACUCCUACGGGAGGCAGCAGUGGGGAAUAUUGCACAAUGGGGGAAACCCUGAUGCAGCAACGCCGCGUGAGUGAAGAAGUAUUUCGGUAUGUAAAGCUCUAUCAGUAGGGAAGAAAAUGACGGUACCUAACUAAGAAGCCCCGGCUAACUACGUGCCAGCAGCCGCGGUAAUACGUAGGGGGCAAGCGUUAUCCGGAUUUACUGGGUGUAAAGGGAGCGUAGGUGGUAUGGUAAGUCAGAUGUGAAAGCCCAGGGCUCAACCCUGGGACUGCAUUUGAAACUACCGAACUAGAGUGCAGGAGAGGUAAGUG
rnacentral:rRNA from 1 species